GACGAAGGUGGCAAGCGUUGUUCGGAAUCAUUGGGCUUAAAGCGCACGUAGGCGGCCUGUUAAGUGUCUUGUGAAAUCCCCCGGCUCAACCGGGGAAUGGCUGGGCAUACUGACGGGCUUGAGGCAGGUAGGGGCAAGUGGAACUCUUGGUGGAGCGGUGGAAUGCGUAGAUAUCAAGAGGAACGCCGGUGGUGAAGACGACUUGCUGGGCCUGUCCUGACGCUGAGGUGCGAAAGCCAGGGGAG
rnacentral:rRNA from 1 species